GACGAACGCUGGCGGCGUGCUUAACACAUGCAAGUCGAACGAGAAAGGGUAGCAAUACCUGAGUAAAGUGGCGCACGGGUGAGUAACACGUGACUAACCUACCUUUUAGUGGGGGAUAACCUAGGGAAACCUGGGCUAAUACCGCAUAACGCUUACGAGUCAAAGCAGCAAUGCGCUGAAAGAGGGGGUCGCGGUCGAUUAGUUAGUUGGCAGGGUAAUGGCCUACCAAGACUGUGAUCGAUAUCCGGCCUGAGAGGGCGACCGGCCACACUGGGAC
rnacentral:rRNA from 1 species